rnacentral:rRNA from 1 species
CCUACGGGUGGCAGCAGUGAGGAAUAUUGGUCAAUGGACGAGAGUCUGAACCAGCCAAGUAGCGUGAAGGAUGACUGCCCUAUGGGUUGUAAACUUCUUUUAUAAAGGAAUAAAACGAGGCACGUGUGCCUUUUUGCAUGUACUUUAUGAAUAAGGAUCGGCUAACUCCGUGCCAGCAGCCGCGGUAAUACGGCGUAUCCGAGCGUUAUCCGGAUUUAUUGGGUUUAAAGGGAGCGUAGAUGGGUUGUUAAGUCAGUUGUGAAAGUUUGCGGCUCAACCGUAAAAUUGCAAUUGAUACUGGCAGUCGUGAGUACAGUUGAGGUAGGCGGAAUUCGUGGUGUAGCGGUGAAAUGCUUAGAUAUCACGAAGAACCCCGAUUGCGAAGGCAGCUUACUAAACUGUGACUGACAUUGAUGCUCGAAAGUGUGGGUAUCAAACAGGAUUAGAUACCCGAGUAGUC